rnacentral:rRNA from 1 species
GACGAACGCUGGCGGCGUGCUUAACACAUGCAAGUCGAACGGAAAGGCCCUGCUUUUGUGGGGUGCUCGAGUGGCGAACGGGUGAGUAACACGUGAGUAACCUGCCCUUGACUUUGGGAUAACUUCAGGAAACUGGGGCUAAUACCGGAUAGGAGCUCCUGCUGCAUGGUGGGGGUUGGAAAGUUUCGGCGGUUGGGGCUGGACUCGCGGCUUAUCAGCUUGUUGGUGGGGUAGUGGCUUACCAAGGCUUUGACGGGUAGCCGGCCUGAGAGGGUGACCGGCCACAUUGGGACUGAGAUACGGCCCAGACUCCUACGGGAGGCAGCAGUGGGGAAUAUUGCACAAUGGGAGGAAGCCUGAUGCAGCAACGCCGCGUGCGGGAUGACGGCCUUCGGGUUGUAAACCGCUUUCGCCUGUGACGAAGCGUGAGUGACGGUAAUGGGUAAAGAAGCACCGGCUAACUACGUG